rnacentral:lncRNA from 1 species
ACUUAUUGUUGCCCACAUGUGUCAAGUCAGUUGAGUGUUUCUGCCAACCGGGGCCUGGCUUGGCCCACCUUGGCUGAGCUUGCUCUGGUGCUAGGGUCAGCUAGACAGGUCGGCAGGAGACCAGCUGCUCUAGAAGAGCCUGGACAGGAUGAAUUGGUUCUCCUUCCACGUGCAUCUUGCAUCCCUCCAGCCAAGGAUUUGAACCCAGGUCUCGUCUGACUCCAAAUGCACCAAGAGGAUGGAGCCCAGAGUGACACAGAGGAAGAGGCCCCUGGAUGGAUGCAUGGGGAAGGUUAGAAGCAAGGCACAAGUCAUACCUACAUUCAAGGAGAGGGGACCAUGCAAAGGAUAAACUGCAGAGAGACAACAGAUUUACAUCCCAGACACAUUCACACUGGGCCAAGAGCAGCUGCCAUUGCAGAUUCGAGUCACGUCCUUUUUUCCUUCCUUCUCCUUCUUGGAGUUACAACAGAAGCUGGGGAGGUGAGAGUGCAGAAAGGACGUGGAUGAAGCAGAGAGGCACGUGCCUGUCUCAUUCGCCUCUGGAUCUGCUGCAUCCAGGACUGUGCCAGCACAAAGUGGGAGCCCGAUAAAUAUUUAUUGAAGAAAUGAAAGGUGACAAAAGGCAGAAGGAGGGAGACCCCAAAAAGAGGAGAGACAAAGUUUAAUCAUGUGGGCCAGGCUGGUUUUGAACUCCUGACCUCAAGUGAUCUGCCCACCUUGGCCUCCCAAAGUGCUGGGAUUACAGUAUGAACCCAGCAUCACAGUGCACUUGUGGCAGAUGGCAGUGCAUACCCGGGAGCUACUCUCCUCCGGCCAGAUGCCCUUCUCCCAGCUGCCCGCCGUGUGGCAGCUCUACCCCGGGAGGAAGUACCGAGCAGCGGAUUCCAGUUUCUGGGAAAUAGCAGACCAUGGCCAGAUUGACUCUAUGGAGCAGCUGGUCCUAACAUAUCAGCCGGAGAGGAAAGACUGACACUGGGAGUGGCUGGCCCUGCUGGCCCUGCCUCUUCUGGCCUGGUGUCUCCUCAUGCCCCCUCAGUGAGGAUCUUCAUGUACCUGCUCUUCUGUUUGCACACCCAGCAUAGCCUCCUUGCAGGCAGAAGGCAGUAGGGCCCCUGCACACUCAGUUUCUCUCGUUUUCCUUAGUUAUCAGUCCUGUCCUGUCCCACUCAGGUCUGUACUUAGGGCAGCUGGCCUGGAUGGGCUUCACUGGGGCCCUGUCUGUGUGCUGAGCCAGUUUCCCCUGCUGGCUGCAAGCUGUGGGUUCUUUCUCCUCUGUGCCCCUCAUGCUGAUCUUCUAGAUGCCACUCCCAAAUCCCCUUCAUACCCACCAGGAUGUGUGCCCAGCCAGGCCUCCAGCACCCCCAGUGCAGCUCGUGAUUGGAAACUCACCAUCGGCAGGCAGUGGUUCGGUUUAAGAGAUGGCAUUAGAGGGAGCCCAGUCUGGAUGUGGACUUGGAUGCCCUGUGGGUAUCAGUUCUGCUGACACUUUGGCCCGAAAUAGAUCCAGUGCUGAGCAAGCAAUGUACACCAGAGCCUCAGUGAGCCCAUCUGCACAGUGGGGAGCAUGGAGGGAUGGGUUUGGCCUGUGCUUCUGCUUAUUCAGUCCUUCAGCUCACGGAAGGGAUGCUAGUCCGUGAAGGUGACCUCACAGUACUGGUUAAUUAAACUUUAUUGCUCACUGUCCA